rnacentral:rRNA from 1 species
AUGGAUAUAACAUUUCGUCCGGGUGCGUGUUACAGUAUAGCAGUUAUUUUUCUCACCGCGAUCAUCACAAAAGUUAUUGUAAGAAGAAUUGUUGCUCCAAGGCCAGAAAAGGGGUCACUUCAGCCACCUAUUGCAAGUGGUGUUUCUCUUGUAGCUGCUUUGCCUACAAUCCUGACCAAGGGUUUACAUCCAGUACUCCAUGACCUGCAUGCAAAGCUGGGCAGUGUAUUCACAAUAAAUCUGUUUGGUUUAAAGAAGGUGACUUUAUUGGUUGGACCGGAGGUCACAUCUCAUUUCUUUCAAGCCAAGAACUCGGAACUCUGCCACCCGGAUAUGUAUAAAUUCACUAUCCCUAUUUUCGGCAAAGGCGUUAUUUUUGAUGUGGAUUUCGAAACUAGAAACAGACAGAUACGAUUUGCUAUAGAUGCAAUGAAGCCAACACAAUUGAGAAGCAAAGUUGAUUAUAUGGUUCAUGAAGUACAGGACUACUUCUCAAAAUGGGAGCAAGAGGGCAUAAUUGAUCUAAAGCAUGAGAUGGCAGAGGUACUCAUGCUCAUCGCAAGCCGUUGCUUGCUUGGAAAAGAGGUCCGUGAGAAGAUGUUCGAAGAAGUCUCUGUGCUCAUCAAUGAUCUCUGCAAAAAUGGCAUGCACUUCAUCAGCCUUUUUUUCCCAUAUAUCCCAAUCCCAGCCCACCGGCAACGCGACAAAGCGCGUGCUAGGCUGGGAAAUAUAUUCCAUGAGAUAGUGAGAUCACGUAAAAUCUCAGGCCAGGUUGAGGAUGAUGUGCUACAAAAACUUAUUGACUCGAAAUGCAUGGAGGAUGGGCGCUCUAUGACCGAGAGUGAGAUUACUGGGCUACUCAUUAGCUUGUUGUUUGCUGGGCAACAUGCGAGCUCAAGCGCUGCCUCCUGGGCGGGAGCUUGUCUAAUAAGCCAUGAAAAGUACUUAGCAGCCGCUGUAGAAGAGCAACAGAAAAUCAUUGGAAAACACGGACAAGAUGUAGUAGUAGAUUACAACAUCUUGUUAGAGAUGGGAACCUUACAUUCCUGCAUCAAAGAGGCAAUAAGAAUGCAUUCUCCAUCAGCAAUGGUAAUGCGCCAUGUGAAGAAGAGCUUCACUGUACAAACUAGAGAAGGCUACAGCUAUGAAAUUCCACAAGGGCAUACCGUAGCUACCUCUAUAGUGGUUGGCAACCAGCUGCCACAUAUCUAUAAAGACCCUCAUGUAUAUGACCCGUACCGUUUUGGUCCAGGGAGAGAGGAGGACAAAGCUGGCGGCAAGUUUGCAUUCACAUCAUUUGGUGGUGGGAGGCAUGCUUGCUUCGGGGAGGAAUACUCUUACAUGCAAAUUAAAGUGAUAUGGAGUUUUUUGCUGAGGAACUUUGAGCUCAAAAUGAUUUCGCCUUUUCCAGAGGAAGAAAUUGAUAAAUUCAUACCAGGGCCUAAAGGAAGAGUGAUGGUCAGUUACAAGAGGCGACUUCUUGUCAGUACCUAA